rnacentral:rRNA from 1 species
GCUGGCGGUAGGCCUUAUACAUGCAAGUCGAGCGAGAAAGUAUCUUCGGAUAUGAGUAGAGCGGCGGACGGGUGAGUAACGCGUAGGAAUCUACCUAGUAGAAGGGGAUAGCCCGGGGAAACUCGGAUUAAUACCGUAUACCUCCUUUGGGAGAAAGAGGGCCUCUCUUUGAUGCUCUCGCUACUAGAUGAGCCUGCGUAAGAUUAGCUAGUUGGUGAGGUAAUGGCUCACCAAGGCGACGAUCUUUAGCUGGUCUGAGAGGACGAUCAGCCACAUUGGGACUGAGACACGGCCCAGACUCCUACGGGAGGCAGCAGUAGGGAAUAUUGGACAAUGAGCGCAAGCUUGAUCCAGCCAUACCGCGUGUGUGAAGAAGGCUUUCGGGUUGUAAAGCACUUUAAGCAGGGAGAAAAAGUUAUAGGCUAAUACCCUAUGACCGUGAUGUUACCUGCAGAAUAAGCACCGGCUAAUUCCGUGCCAGCAGCCGCGGUAAUACGGAAGGUGCAAGCGUUAAUCGGAAUUACUGGGCGUAAAGCGCGCGUAGGUGGUUUGUUAAGUUGGAUGUGAAAGCCCUGG